GAUGAACGCUGGCGGCGUGCUUAACACAUGCAAGUCGAACGGAAAGGCUCCUGCUUGCAGGGGUACUCGAGUGGCGAACGGGUGAGUAACACGUGGGUGAUCUGCCCUGCACUUCGGGAUAAGCCUGGGAAACUGGGUCUAAUACCGGAUAGGACGAUGGUUUGGAUGCCAUUGUGGAAAGUUUUUCGGUGUGGGAUGAGCUCGCGGCCUAUCCGCUUGUUGGUGGGGUAAUGGCCUACCAAGGCGUCGACGGGUAGCCGGCCUGAGAGGGUGUACGGCCACAUUGGGACUGAGAUACGGCCCAGACGCCUACGGGAGGCAGAAGUGGGGAAUAUUGCACAAUGGGCGCAAGCCUGAUGCAGCGACGCCGCGUGGGGGAUGACGGCCUUCGGGUUGUAAACUCCUUUCGCUAGGGACGAAGCGCAAGUGACGGUACCUGGAGAAGAAGCACCGGCUAACUACGUG
rnacentral:rRNA from 1 species